ensembl:lncRNA
GAAGCAUAUCACCUAGAGCAGACUGAAUGGAAAGUUUCCUCACUACGAUAAAUAAUAGCACUGGACUGUGUAGGGUCAGGAAACAGGGGGCCGGGGGGACAAUGGGGACACAGGCAGAGAAUUAAAUUGGGAGGAUCUACUAGGAGACCCUGAUAAUUGAUUACCCUUUGCUAGGCAGCAACAGAGAUUGCCUGGAGCUUCUAGAAUGCUCUGAAGCCCCUGGGCAGUUUUCCAAAUGGUUCAUAACUGUUGGUCAGUAACUGUUUUUAACUACUGUUCAAAACUGUCCAAGCUUUCCCCACAGCUGGGCCUGGGUAAUUUGUGGCCUUAUGGCUACUUUGUGCAAAUUCUUCUGAAUGUUUGUAGCAGCCAGAGUAAUUAACACUCAUGUUGAGGACGGUGGUCUUUUCAGACUUGGCCCCACUCUCCCAACAGCAGAAGCCUGUGCCAACAGGCCAAAUACUCCGUCUUCCCCAGACAAGGUUGGGUUGCCCCUCUGUAGGAAAUGGACCCCCCUGGAUUCUAAAGAGAACAGUCCAAUGUGUCCACUAAAAAAACUGAAUGUGAGGGAUGCACACAAUUGGCUCUACUGAACACAGGAAGUCUCUCCCAAAUGGCCGAGUCUGCUGUUUUCCCAAGGCAAAGGUCGACUUGCACCUUUAUGGGAGAAAGCCCCCCCCCCCAUAUAGAAAUGCACAUUCCAACCCAAAUGACCUAAAAAGAAUAUGUUCCCUGUACAAAAUUGUCUCCCCUUCCCAGAAGAAGUCUGUGCCAACAGGUCAAGGCAGUCCUCAUCCUAAAUUGAAGUCUAGAUGCCCCUUUUAAAGAGAAAUACCCUACAAAUUCACCAGCCCACACACUAACCCAACUGACAUCCAAAGCUGAAUAUAUACCCUUAACAGAGUAGACUCUCCUGUGCAACUGCAGCCUCUGCCAAUGGGCCAAGGCGGUCCUCUUCCCCAGUCAAGGUUGGAUUGCACCUUUAUGGGAGAAAGACCCCACAAAUUCAUCAACACACAUUCCAACCCAACUGACCCAAAAAUGUGUACCCUGCACAGAACUGUCUCCACUACCCAGCAGAAGCUUUUGCCAACUGGCCAAGGCUGCCAUCUUCCCCAGUCGAGAUAGAGUUACUCCUUUGUGGGAGAAAGACCCCUUAAAUACACUGCAUCACAAUCCAACCCAGCUGACCCAAAAAAAAUAUGUGCCCUGCACAGAACUGUCUCUCCUGCCCAGAAGAAGCUUCUGCCAAUGGGCCAAGGCAGUCCUCAUCCUCAGUCGAGGCCAAGUUGCCCCUUAAGAUAAAGGCCUCCAAAUACAUCAACCCCCUCAGCCCCAAGGCUGAACGUGUGCCCAGCACAGACUUAGUCCCACUGCCUGGCAGAAACCUCUGCCAAUGGGACAAGGAGCUCCUCUGCCCUAGUCGACAUCAUUGCAUUGAGCCAUCUUUGGAAAAAGACCUUCCAAACACACCGACCUACCUCCCCCUCCAGGCUGAAUGUGUGCCCUCUGCAGACUUGGCUCUAUCACCUGAUAGAAGCCUCCACCAAGGCGCCAAACCAGGGAAUAGAUGUCCCACAUAACCCUCCCAUAAAGCCAGUAGCCAGGCUGGUCUGGGAAGUCCCUACCCCUAGAAGAGGCUGGUCUCUACACUGACUGACCAACCCUGCCAUGAGGGGAUAAACAGGCAGCCACCCCACCCCUGUCAGCCUAUCUCUGCAGUAUCUGCCUGCCAUAGGCUUUAGGGACUCCAGCAAAAGGCCCCAAGAAGAAGAGGCUCAGCCACCCUUACAAAGAAAAAUUGGCAACACUAGUCUACCCUGUUCACCAGAUGGAUGAAGAUAUGUAAAUUGAGAAUCAAGAACUGCCCAUCUUGGUCCUCAGAUCUCUGGCUCACUGGAUGCCCUAAACAGGAAAGUUGUGUCUGUCCUGUUUGGACAGUGUCUUAAAAAUUAAAAAUUGAAUAAAAUUUUAAA